rnacentral:rRNA from 1 species
ACGCACGCUGGCGGCAUGCCUAACACCUGCAAGUCGAACGAGACCUUCGGGUCUAGUGGCGCACGGGUGCGUAACGCGUGGGAACCUGCCCUUAGGUUCGGAAUAACUCCCCGAAAGGGGUGCUAAUACCGGAUAAUGUCUUCGGACCAAAGAUUUAUCGCCUUUGGAUGGGCCCGCGUUGGAUUAGCUAGUUGGUAGGGUAAAAGCCUACCAAGGCGACGAUCCAUAGCUGGUCUGAGAGGAUGAUCAGCCACACUGGGACUGAGACACGGCCCAGACUCCUACGGGAGGCAGCAGUGGGGAAUAUUGGACAAUGGGCGAAAGCCUGAUCCAGCAAGGCCGCGUAAGUGAUGAAGGCCUUAGGGUUGUAAAGCUCUUUUACCCGGGAUGAUAAUGACAGGACCGGGAGAAUAAGCUCCGGCUAACUCCGU